GCGUGAAUAACCUGCCUUUGAGAAGGGGAUAACUAUCCGAAAGGAUAGCUAAUACCCUAUAUUGCCUUUUGUCACUAAGGCAAAAGGUGAAAGCGAGGCUGUCAAAGGCUUCGGCUCAAAGAGGGGUUCGCGUCCUAUCAGGUAGUUGGUGGGGUAAUGGCCUACCAAGCCAAUGACGGGUAGCUGGUCUUAGAGGACGAUCAGCCACAGCGGGACUGAGACACGGCCCGCACCCCUACGGGGGGCAGCAGUGGGGAAUCGUGGGCAAUGGGCGCAAGCCUGACCCCGCAAUGCCGCGUGAGGGAAGAAGCCCUUCGGGGUGUAAACCUCUGUCAGAUGGGAAGAUGGGACUAGGGGCUAAUACCUCCUAGUCUUGACGGUACCAUCAGAGGAAGGGACGGCUAACUACGUGCCAGCAGCCGCGGUAAUACGUAGGUCCCGAGCGUUGCGCGAUGUUACUGGGCGUAAAGCGUCCGUAGCCGGUUUCGUAAGCGGAUUGUCAAAGCCCGAAGCUCAACUUCGGCAAGGCAUUCCGAACUGCGUUACUUGAGUCCUGUUCAGGUAGGCGGAAUUCCCGGUGUAGCGGUGAAAUGCGUAGAUAUCGGGAGGAACACCAGUGGCGAAGGCGGCCUACUGGGACGGUACUGACGGUCAUGGACGAAAGCUGGGGGAGCAACCCGGAUUAGAUACCCGGGUAGUCCCAGCCGUAAACGGUGGAUGUUAGGUGUAGUGAUAACUUCGCUGCACCCCAGCUAACGCGUUAAACAUCCCGCCUGGGGAGUACGGGCGCAAGCCUGAAACUCAAAGGAAUUGGCGGGGGCCCGCACAACCGGUGGAGCGUCUGGUUUAAUUCGAUGCUAACCGAAAAACCUUACCAGGGUUUGAAAUGGUAGGAAAGGCUGUCGAAAGAUAGCUGUGUCUCCCUUUUGGGAGAAACCCUACCACAGGUGGUGCGUGGCCGUCGUCAGCUCGUGUUGUGAGAUGUUGGGUUAAGUCCCGCAACGAGCGCAACCCUUGUCCUUAUUUGCUUCCUCGUAUGAGGUGCUCUAUAAGGAGACUGCCGGCGACAAGCCGGAGGAAGGAGGGGACGACGUUAGGUCAGUAUGCCCUUUAUGCCCUGGGCUACACAGGCGCUACAGUGGCAAGGACAAUGAGUAGCGAGAGCGCAAGCUCGAGC
rnacentral:rRNA from 1 species